AGUCGCGGCGCCUCUUGGGCGCAGCUCCCUGCAGGCGGCGGGGGUUGCGGGCUCGCGCCGGGCGGGGGAAGGUCCCUGGGCGGCCCGAGGCCGGCCGUGUGGGCGCAGGAACGGAUGGAGAGAGGCCGGCAUGCUGUCUCAGGGUCCGGUGUGGACCCGGAGUUUCGGGAGAUCCUGAAACCCCUGGGCGGCGUUGAGGCCCACUCGGGCUCGGCCUGUGGGUGGCCUGCCGGGGGUCAAAGCUGCCCUGCUGUCCGGCGUGCACAUGGACAUCUGCCAAGACUGGCCCAGCGGCGUGUCCCUGGUUCCCGACUGCGGCCGCCCUGUCGUCUCCCUGUCUAGGGUGGCUCCUUAUGUGGGGGGCUCUCCUGAGCCAGAGUUGGAAGAAGCAGACAUUUUUGCAGAGGCUCCUGGAAACUUUGGCUGUCGCCUGGAUGUCCCUAUGAAAAGAACAUUCCACCCGUGGGGAAAAACAACUUAAACAGCUUGGGGUGACCUUUAACCUCCACGCCGACUAUGUGGCCUUUACAGAGUGCCACUCUGUGGGGACAGAAGCGAGGCCUCAGGGGAGCUCGGGCAGCUCUGCUGUUAAUUCACACCCAGAUUCCGAGACUUUCUCUGCACCGCAGAGUUCCUGCUGGGAAACGUCAGUGACCUUGAUUCUGCAUCAGGAGAGUAAAAGCCGACACUCUUCCUGCGGGGACACAGGCUCCUUGUUGGAGAGCCAACGUGGGAUUUCAGUGCAGCGUGGCUGGGAAGUUGAGCUGGUAAUUUGCAGGCAGUUGGGACAGGUCUGGUCUGACUGGGAGUGUCAGUCCUAGGACAGCCCUGCGUGGCUUUGCUGGAUGGGCACCCCCUGUCGUCUGAGGGAGGUAUAGAGGCCGAGGGUGCAGGUGCCUUUGAGUUUAUGCCGAGCUCCGCCUGCAGGAGCAGGGGGCCUGGCAGCUGGGCCCCCUGGUCUGCGGAGAGGAGGCGGGGCGCUGGCCUGGGCCAGUGGGCAGGGACUGAGCAUCGGGGAGCCUUCACUGCCACCUGGUGGACGGCCCAGAAAGGUGAUGGGGACUGGUGGCCAGUGCAGAGAGACGUGGCCCAGGCAAGGCGGGGAUGUGCAGAGCAUCUUCGAGGACAGCCGGGUGGACGGGCUGCAGGAAUGGGUGGGAUGGUGACAGGGACAGGGCAGCCACAGACUCCGGUCAUGUCAGUCCUCGUGCUUGCCCCUGAAUCUGGGCAGUCGGCCGGUGGCUGCAGCGCUCCGGGUCUGAGGGACGGGAAAUUCUCUGAUGAUGUUCGAGGCCCCGCAAAGCCAUAGACCUCCGGGAGCCUGUCCUCCUGGGGCCCAGCGAGGAAGGAAAGGUCAUACGUGUGAGAGAGGAUGGGGUCCCCUCCCCUGACAGCCCUGGCUGUGACCCGUAUCUUCAGAAGCCCCUGUGAGCUCGUGUUUGAAGACUGAGGUGAAGAUCACGUAACAGAGGAAGCGUUUUCGAAGUGUGCAGCUCCGUCCCCAUUACAGGCGUCGAGUGCGUUCACCGUGCCCUGCGCCCACCUCCCCCAUCUGGUUCCGGAGCACUGUCAUCCGCUCGAAGGCAGCCCCGGCCCUCCCGCGGCUGGCGCCUGCUCUCUGCAUCCGUGGGCUUCUCGUCAGUGCGAUCCUACCCCGUGUGAUCUUUUGCGUUUGGCGCAUUUCUUGGGCGUCCGCCGUGUGGCAGCCCCCUGGUCCUCUUCACGGCUGAGUACUCUGCGCCGCGUGCUGGCCGUCCACGGUGGGGCCGCGGGAAGGCCUGCGCCUUCGGGGGACCGUGGGCAGUGCUGCCACCAACCCCCACCCGCACGUUUCUGUUGGAACGCUGUUUUCAGGUCCGUGGCGUGUGUCUCCAGGGGUGGGCCUGCUGGGCCACGUGGUGACUCUAUGUUUAGCUUUUUGAGGAACCACCCAGCUGUUCCUCCUAGUGACUCACGAUCGCACAUCCCCACCAGCACCACGCAAGGGCUUGGAUUUCUCCGCUUCCUCACCGGCUUUGUGAUUUGUUUUUUGGUUCUGGCCAUCCUGGUGGAUGGGAGGUGGUGUCCCAGUGUGGUUUUGAUUUGCAUUUCCCUGAAGCCUCGUGACAGUGGGCACCUUGGCACGUGUGUAGCGCUUUCCUUGGAGGAGCCAGACUUCUCUAGAAUUUCGUUAUUUCAGGACUCCAUCAGGGAAGUGAGCCCUGGAGGCCAGACAGCCGCUCUCAGAGGCUUCUGACCAAAACUUGGCCCCCGUCCGCCCAGCUACCGGAGGGACUCCCUGGACCCAGUUCAGCUGCGUCCUGCAGCCCAGGCAGAGCCCCAGAAGCAGCAGGGACCACGGGCCGCUCUGUGAGUUGAGCAAUUCCUGGGUGCAUUCCGGAUGGAGCCCCCUGGCCUGAAGACGGUCCCGGGCUGUCCGGCAUCUGAGAUGUCUUCGAGGAUCUGCAGCCCCUCCCCUGCCCGGUGCUCUCAGGGAAGAAACAGGGCAGUUGCCCUCAGACACGCGGAGUGAAUGGAAGUGCUGACCUGUUGCCUGCGGAUGCUUUGGGUGGGAGCCCAGACCGUCUGUGGCCCUGGCAGGACCGGGCUGCCAGGUGGUGUCCGGGAGCCAGGGAGCCGGGCUCCAGCAACCUGCCCAAGGCCUCUGACCACCAGCCCCCGGGACAGGUGGGGUGGGACCAGGCUUCAGCCUUGUCACACACAGGCCAGGACCUGGGAGGGGCUUUCCCUGGGCCACGAGACCUCCCUCUCCCCACCCAGGGCCCUGGGCCGCUGCAUCUGCAUCCUGGUGGUCAAGAGCCUCAGGCUUGAGCAGCAUCGGGCUUUGUCAGGAGAUCGGGUUUACGGGAUGGCCCAGAACAUGGUGCAUGUUGGUGAGCGUUCUGUGUCGCGUGAACAGAAUGUGCGCUCUGCCGUGGGCGAGUCCGUCCGGCUGGUCUCCAUCCUCAUCCUGGAAGCCUGGCUGCCUCAUGUCCAGCCUCCAAGAGAUGGUCCGUCCUUCGGUUCUACCGCUUGUGCGUUGAAGUGCUGUGGUUCUGUGGGUACUCGGACUGCGAUGCCUGCCUUUGUCACAUAACGUCCCCCCCGUCUCGGCGAUAUUCGUCUUGAAAUCCACGCUGUCUGAUGCUGACGUGACCAUUGCAGCUUUCCCUGGAUUCGCAUCUCCCAAGAUACAUUUUCCCCAUCUUUUUAUUUUUUUCCUGUCUUUAUAUUAAAGUGGGCUUCUUAGACACGGCA